UUUUCCUUCAUACUGUCACCAAGUGCUUGCUCAUACGGUAUCAUCUAAUUGUGGGUGUUACAGUGCCUUCAAGCAACAGAUUUUGUAAACUGGUGCUAUAUAAAUUCAUUUCCUUCAGCUAUCCUGAAGGAAACUUCAGAGGGAACCAGAUAAGUGAUGUUCAAAUGGUUCAGAUUCAAAUUGGCCUUCCACCCCUCUAACUCAGGCCAGACAACCAAUUUGCUCAUCAGGACCACUACAGGCUUCUACCAAUUUCCUCUGGCUUCCCCCUGCCUGCGCACAAUUCACCAACAUCAGCUCUGCAACACAUUGACGACCUGUCCAGGGUGCAAUGAAUUAAUUAAACUUUCUUUUCAGUAAAAAAGUGCUAAUGACAGCUUUAAGAAAAAAGGUCAAACACCUACAGCAUCAAAAACAUGUUUCUGCGAGUCUAGAUAAGAGUUUUGAAUGGCUUCACUUGAUAUACCAUAUUGUACAAAAAUAUCAGCAGACUCUGAGGGGUUGAGUGGUAUUCACUGAGCCAACCAUGAACAAUGUUAAUCUGUUUCACAGUUUUUUUUCUUGUUGAAAAGGGAAUAGAAGAAUCUUUAACAGCAACUCCACAACACUGAGAGUCAGCCAGAGAUGUGGGAUGUCCCAAACGCUGUGCUGUGGAUCAACAUCUGUGUCUGCCUUCCUCUGACCAUAAUUUUCAUUGUUUGUGUGUGUUAUGUGGGGCGAAGGGAUCCUCUCACUGUCACGUAUUACAUAAAUCUGCUCAUCUCCAAUCUGGUCCAACUCUGCAUACUGUUUGUUUGGGUGGCACGACUGGAUGGCACCACCUGUGCUGCAUUAGCCCUCUUUAGUGUGACGGCGAAUAUUGACUUCAGCAUUUGCAUUGCUUUGGAAAGGUAUUUUUUCAUCACCUGUCCUUUCCUCGACUUCAUCAGACAAACUAAGGGUUCUGUGUUGGUUUGCCUUCUAGUGUGGAGUGUUUGUAUUAUAACGGCCAGUCUUGCCAUAGCCUUACAAGUGCUUUUACGCUUUGUAAUUCAUGCCCUUCUCCCU